rnacentral:rRNA from 1 species
CCUACGGGAGGCAGCAGUGAGGAAUAUUGGUCAAUGGCCGUAAGGCUGAACCAGCCAAGUCGCGUGAAGGAUGACGGACCUAUGGUUUGUAAACUUCUUUUAUAGGGGAAUAAAGUUAGCCACGUGUGAAGAUUUGCAUGUACCGUAUGAAUAAGCAUCGGCUAAAUCCGUGCCAGCAGCCGCGGUAAUACGGAGGAUGCGGGCGUUAACCGGAUUUAUUGGGUUUAAAGGGAGCGUAGGUUGUAUGUUAAGUCAGCGGUGAAAUUCUGUGGCUCAACCAUAGAAUUGCCGUUGAAACUGGAAGACUUGAGUGUGUUUGAGGUAGGCGGAAUGCUUGGUGUAGCGGUGAAAUGCUUAGAUAUCACGCAGAACUCCGAUUGCGAAGGCAGCUUACUGGGCCAUAACUGACGCUGAAGCACGAAAGCGUGGGGAUCAAACAGGAUUAGAUACCCUAGUAGUC